CAAAGAUGGCUGCUAGAAGUAUGGAUGCUCAGAUGGGGGCGACUCUUCCAGGUUUAGCUCUUGGAUCAUGCUCAUGAGAGAUCUGAGUGCCUUAGCAGGUCAGAGCACCUCAGAUUGGAUGUUGUAGGGCAAUGGGGGUUAAGUGACUUGCCCAGGGUCACACAGCUGUCCCUCAGGCUUGACAUCUUGGAGGUGUCUUUGGUUAGAAGCAGCCAAGUGUUGUGGAUGAAGUUCUGGACUUGGAGUCUAGGGAAGAUGGGAAUUCAUCAUCCAGCUUCAGAUAUUUCCUAUUUGGAUGACCUUGAGGAAGAAAGUCCAGGAGGACUCACAGGAACAUUGACAUCGAGGUGGACAGUCUGCUUUUGAGUCAGAAGGACCUGGAUUCAAAUCCUGCCCCUGCUAUUUGGCAGCCUUGUAACAUUAGCAAGUCACUCCUCCUUUGUGAGCCUCGGUUUCAUCAGGUACAUUAGAGGAUAAUU